rnacentral:rRNA from 1 species
AUAAUGGGUCAGCGACUUAUAUUCUGUAGCAAGGUUAACCGAAUAGGGGAGCCGAAGGGAAACCGAGUCUUAACUGGGCGUUAAGUUGCAGGGUAUAGACCCGAAACCCGGUGAUCUAGCCAUGGGCAGGUUGAAGGUUGGGUAACACUAACUGGAGGACCGAACCGACUAAUGUUGAAAAAUUAGCGGAUGACUUGUGGCUGGGGGUGAAAGGCCAAUCAAACCGGGAGAUAGCUGGUUCUCCCCGAAAGCUAUUUAGGUAGCGCCUCGUGAAUUCAUCUCCGGGGGUAGAGCACUGUUUCGGCAAGGGGGUCAUCCCGACUUACCAACCCGAUGCAAACUGCGAAUACCGGAGAAUGUUAUCACGGGAGACACACGGCGGGUGCUAACGUCCGUCGUGAAGAGGGAAACAACCCAGACCGCCAGCUAAGGUCCCAAAGUCAUGGUUAAGUGGGAAACGAUGUGGGAAGGCCCAGACAGCCAGGAUGUUGGCUUAGAAGCAGCCAUCAUUUAAAGAAAGCGUAAUAGCUCACUGGUCGAGUCGGCCUGCGCGGAAGAUGUAACGGGGCUAAACCAUGCACCGAAGCUGCGGCAGCGACGCUGAUGCGUUGUUGGGUAGGGGAGCGUUCUGUAAGCCUGCGAAGGUGUGCUGUGAGGCAUGCUGGAGGUAUCAGAAGUGCGAAUGCUGACAUAAGUAACGAUAAAGCGGGUGAAAAGCCCGCUCGCCGGAAGACCAAGGGUUCCUGUCCAACGUUAAUCGGGGCAGGGUGAGUCGACCCCUAAGGCGAGGCCGAAAGGCGUAGUCGAUGGGAAACAGGUUAAUAUUCCUGUACUUGGUGUUACUGCGAAGGGGGGACGGAGAAGGCUAUGUUGGCCGGGCGACGGUUGUCCCGGUUUAAGCGUGUAGGCUGGUUUUCCAGGCAAAUCCGGAAAAUCAAGGCUGAGGCGUGAUGACGAGGCACUGCGGUGCUGAAGCAACAAAUGCCCUGCUUCCAGGAAAAGCCUCUAAGCAUCAGGUAACAUCAAAUCGUACCCCAAACCGACACAGGUGGUCAGGUAGAGAAUACCAAGGCGCUUGAGAGAACUCGGGUGAAGGAACUAGGCAAAAUGGUGCCGUAACUUCGGGAGAAGGCACGCUGAUAUGUAGGUGAAGUCCCUCGCGGAUGGAGCUGAAAUCAGUCGAAGAUACCAGCUGGCUGCAACUGUUUAUUAAAAACACAGCACUGUGCAAACACGAAAGUGGACGUAUACGGUGUGACGCCUGCCCGGUGCCGGAAGGUUAAUUGAUGGGGUCAGCGCAAGCGAAGCUCUUGAUCGAAGCCCCGGUAAACGGCGGCCGUAACUAUAACGGUCCUAAGGUAGCGAAAUUCCUUGUCGGGUAAGUUCCGACCUGCACGAAUGGCGUAAUGAUGGCCAGGCUGUCUCCACCCGAGACUCAGUGAAAUUGAACUCGCUGUGAAGAUGCAGUGUACCCGCGGCAAGACGGAAAGACCCCGUGAACCUUUACUAUAGCUUGACACUGAACAUUGAGCCUUGAUGUGUAGGAUAGGUGGGAGGCUUUGAAGUGUGGACGCCAGUCUGCAUGGAGCCGACCUUGAAAUACCACCCUUUAAUGUUUGAUGUUCUAACGUUGACCCGUAAUCCGGGUUGCGGACAGUGUCUGGUGGGUAGUUUGACUGGGGCGGUCUCCUCCUAAAGAGUAACGGAGGAGCACGAAGGUUGGCUAAUCCUGGUCGGACAUCAGGAGGUUAGUGCAAUGGCAUAAGCCAGCUUGACUGCGAGCGUGACGGCGCGAGCAGGUGCGAAAGCAGGUCAUAGUGAUCCGGUGGUUCUGAAUGGAAGGGCCAUCGCUCAACGGAUAAAAGGUACUCCGGGGAUAACAGGCUGAUACCGCCCAAGAGUUCAUAUCGACGGCGGUGUUUGGCACCUCGAUGUCGGCUCAUCACAUCCUGGGGCUGAAGUAGGUCCCAAGGGUAUGGCUGUUCGCCAUUUAAAGUGGUACGCGAGCUGGGUUUAGAACGUCGUGAGACAGUUCGGUCCCUAUCUGCCGUGGGCGCUGGAGAACUGAGGGGGGCUGCUCCUAGUACGAGAGGACCGGAGUGGACGCAUCACUGGUGUUCGGGUUGUCAUGCCAAUGGCACUGCCCGGUAGCUAAAUGCGGAAGAGAUAAGUGCUGAAAGCAUCUAAGCACGAAACUUGCC